rnacentral:tRNA from 1 species
GUGGUAGUUCAAUGGCAGGAUUUUUGCCCUACAUGCAGGAGACCCAGGUUUGAUUCCUGGCCAAAACU